rnacentral:rRNA from 1 species
AACGAACGCCGGCGGCAUGCCUAACACAUGCAAGUCGAACGAGAUCUUCGGGUCUAGUGGCGCACGGGUGCGUAACGCGUGGGAAUCUGCCCUUUGGUUCGGAAUAACAGUUGGCAACGACUGCUAAUACCGGAUGAUGACGAAAGUCCAAAGAUUUAUCGCCAGAGGAUGAGCCCGCGUAGGAUUAGCUAGUUGGUGUGGUAAAGGCGCACCAAGGCGACGAUCCUUAGCUGGUCUGAGAGGAUGAUCAGCAACACUGGGACUGAGACACGGCCCAGACUCCUACGGGAGGCAGCAGUGGGGAAUAUUGGACAAUGGGCGAAAGCCUGAUCCAGCAACGCCGCGUGAGUGAUUAAGGCCUUAGGGUUGUAAAGCUCUUUUACCCGGGAUGAUAAUGACAGUACCGGGAGAAUAAGCUCCGGCUAACUCCGUGCCAGCCGCCGCGGUAA